CCCCACACGCUUCAGGUAGAUCCGUAACGCUCCCAGAAGAGCAAGGGUGCUAACAGCACCAGAAACAUCCAACCACAAAAAUUUACAGCCAGCUGGUAAACACAAAGCAACCACCCUAUGCAACUGAAGGGUAUCAAACUUUAUUAUAGAUCUCUUUAAAACAGGCUGGAAGGAACAAACAAAAAUGUCAUUGCAACGCAGUGACUGAGUCAUCAUUUCAAAUGCAGACGCUGAUCAAACCCCAACUCUCCCAUGUUAUUUAUAAUAUAUCCCACCCUUCCCCAAAAUCGCUCUAAUCAAAUGAUCACAUUUCAGACAACCCCAAGUGUCUUAACAUGAGCUGCUUCUAAACACCAAGAUGCACAUGUUUUCUGGCAAAUUAGAUGCAGUAUUUUUUUUCUGGGGGGAGAAGGGGGGGGGGAAGGUUUAGUUCAUCAAUCUCUGGAAAGGAGGAAGGAAAAAACAAAAUCAGGACAAUCGCUUCUUUAAGGUUGCCUUUUUACAGCAGGUACAGAUUCUGCAGAUUUCCCCCCCAAAGCAAGUCUGAAACCCUCUUGUUCAGCUUGGCAAUAUGAAGAGAGAUUCCGGUGGUUAAGGAGAACCAGCCAGACGAGAUCAGUCUGAGCAAACUGAUUUCGAGGCUUUGUUGUCAUUUCCCUUUGGGGCCAGUUUCGAGUGGUUUUCCAAUAUCCUUCCCACGCAGUUUAAGGCCAAUGGCUCUUUCAAUCUUGCCCAUAACCUGGUUGUUGGGGAUUGCUCUUCCUGAUUCGUAGUCAGCAAUGACUUGUGGUUUUUCAUUGAUUUUUGUGGCCAAGUCCUUCUGUGUCAUGCCCUUGCUCUGCCGACCCUGCUGGAUUACUUUGCCCACCUCCAGGGGAACUCUGUCAUGGUGCAGCUCUUCUGUCUCUCGGUCGAGCUUGGCUGUGUUCUUUGUGAUGAAGUGUUGUUUGUUUUGGCCUGCUGCCCACUUCUUGGAGGUCUCCACGUCCUCGCCCCGCCGCUGCGCUGCCAGCACCGCCUGCUUGGACUUGGCCUGGGCCGCGCUGGGGCCCUUCUUGCGCAGCACCGUCACCGUGUCCCAGUCGCUCUCCGCCAUGACGACGCCGCCGCUGCUCACCCCGCCCCCGCCUCGGUGCCGCGCCCGCCGAUCCGGCAGCGCCGCCCGCUGAUUGGGCGCGGGGCGGGCCCUGCCGCCCUCCCACGGGCCGCCUCGCUCUCCGAUAGGUUUGUGCUCACGCCCGUCAGGGAAGGCGACCUCUCCGGGGCGGGGGGCGGGACUAGAGGCUCCUCGCUGGACUUUGGC
rnacentral:lncRNA from 1 species